rnacentral:rRNA from 1 species
AUGAUGAGGAGCUUGCUCCUCUGAUUUAGCGGCGGACGGGUGAGUAACACGUGGGUAAUCUGCCUGUAAGACGGGGAUAACUCCGGGAAACCGGGGCUAAUACCGGAUAAUAAGAGAAGAAGCAUUUCUUCUUUUUGAAAGUCGGUUUCGGCUGACACUUACAGAUGAGCCCGCGGCGCAUUAGCUAGUUGGUGAGGUAACGGCUCACCAAGGCGACGAUGCGUAGCCGACCUGAGAGGGUGAUCGGCCACACUGGGACUGAGACACGGCCCAGACUCCUACGGGAGGCAGCAGUAGGGAAUCUUCGGCAAUGGGCGAAAGCCUGACCGAGCAACGCCGCGUGAGCGAUGAAGGCCUUCGGGUCGUAAAGCUCUGUUGUUAGAGAAGAACAAGUACGAGAGUAACUGCUCGUACCUUGACGGUACCUAACCAGAAAGCCACGG